UACGUAGGGUGCGAGCGUUACUCGGAAUUACUGGGCGUAAAGCGUGCGCAGGCGGUUUUGUAAGUCAGAUGUGAAAUCCCCGGGCUUAACCUGGGAACUGCGUUUGAAACUACAAGGCUAGAGUGUGGCAGAGGGGGGUGGAAUUCCACGCGUAGCAGUGAAAUGCGUAGAGAUGUGGAGGAACACCGAUGGCGAAGGCAGCCCCCUGGGAUGAUACUGACGCUCAGGCACGAAAGCGUGGGGAGCAAACAGG
rnacentral:rRNA from 1 species